rnacentral:rRNA from 1 species
UAGGGAAUCUUCCGCAAUGGGCGAAAGCCUGACGGAGCAACGCCGCGUGAGUGAUGAAGGUCUUCGGAUCGUAAAACUCUGUUAUUAGGGAAGAACAUAUGUGUAAGUAACUGUGCACAUCUUGACGGUACCUAAUCAGAAAGCCACGGCUAACUACGUGCCAGCAGCCGCGGUAAUACGUAGGUGGCAAGCGUUAUCCGAAAUUAUUGGGCGUAAAGCGCGCGUAGGCGGUUUUUUAAGUCUGAUGUGAAAGCCCACGGCUCAACCGUGNAGGGUCAUUGGAAACUGGAAAACUUGAGUGCAGAAGAGGAAAGUGGAAUUCCAUGUGUAGCGGUGAAAUGCGCAGAGAUAUGGAGGAACACCAGUGGCGAAGGCGACUUUCUGGUCUGUAACUGACGCUGAUGUGCGAAAGNGUGGGGAUCAAACAGGAUUAGAUACCCUGGUAGUCCACGCCGUAACGAUGAGUGCUAAGUGUUAGGGGGUUUCCGCCCCUUAGUGCUGCAGCUAACGCAUUAAGCACUCCGCCUGGGAGUACGACCGCAAGUU